GGACCGCAGCAGGCGCGGCGCGCCUUCCGGAGCGUGGCUGGCGGGGCCCGGCGGGCGGGGCCGGGGAAGGGGCC
rnacentral:miRNA from 1 species